GCGCAGUAGCGACAUUACUUUUGUUCGAUGUCUCUCGGACGACAAAGAUCCUACGCCGUUUGGCCAAUCAUAUUCCAUAAUCGCAGCCGAGCCCCCGUUGACCUAGAACGGGAUUGGCCGGACGACGUACAAUCUUCGUCGUCCGAGAGACACCGAACGAGGGGCACAUCGACUGAAUAUACAUUGCGAUUCAAUAUUCAGUAUUGAUUCAGUAGGUAUUUUAUGACCGUGAUUGCAAUUUGCAUUUGAGCUCAGCAGUCGAGUAAGUUGUGCCAAAAAUACCAGAAGUGUUGCAUGCCCUGGAUGCAGGAAAACAAGAUUGAGAUGAGUGGAUCAAGAUGUAUCUUUCGUGCAGAUGUAUCAAGAUGUGCCUUUCAGGCGCAAGCUCUGGAUGAACUUCUGCGGUGACGUCGGCAUUCUUACAGGAGAACCCAAGAUUCGCUGUACCUGUAUGCAUUUCAAAACUGAAGAAUUGAUAGCAACAAGUAAAUAUUUGAAGUUGCAGCCAAAUGCUGUGCCUUCUCUGCUGCAAGAACUACAUGUCACCAUUGAAGCAAGGACCAGCUCGACUCCUGCAGUAGGACUCCAGCCUCGUCCAGUCGUCGCCGCU